CCGGGUUGCGGACAGUGUCUGGUGGGUAGUUUGACUGGGGCGGUCUCCUCCUAAAGAGUAACGGAGGAGCACGAAGGUUAGCUAAUCCUGGUCGGACAUCAGGAGGUUAGUGCAAAGGCAUAAGCUAGCUUGACUGCGAGAGUGACGGCUCGAGCAGGUGCGAAAGCAGGUCUUAGUGAUCCGGUGGUUCUGAAUGGAAGGGCCAUCGCUCAACGGAUAAAAGGUACUCCGGGGAUAACAGGCUGAUACCGCCCAAGAGUUCAUAUCGACGGCGGUGUUUGGCACCUCGAUGUCGGCUCAUCACAUCCUGGGGCUGAAGUAGGUCCCAAGGGUAUGGCUGUUCGCCAUUUAAAGUGGUACGCGAGCUGGGUUUAGAACGUCGUGAGACAGUUCGGUCCCUAUCUGCCGUGGGCGCUGGAGAAUUGAGGGGGGCUGCUCCUAGUACGAGAGGACCGGAGUGGACGCAUCACUGGUGUUCGGGUUGUCAUGCCAAUGGCAUUGCCCGGUAGCUAAAUGCGGAAGAGAUAAGUGCUGAAAGCAUCUAAGCACGAAACUUGCCCCGAGAUGAGUUCUCCCUGA
rnacentral:rRNA from 2 species